UACGUAGGGACCAAGCGUUGUUCGGAUUUACUGGGCGUAAAGGGCGCGUAGGCGGCUUAACAAGUCACUUGUGAAAUCUCCGGGCUUAACUCGGAACGGCCAAGUGAAACUGUCAAGCUAGAGUGCAGAAGGGGCAAUCGGAAUUCUUGGUGUAGCGGUGAAAUUCGUAGAUAUCAGGAGGAACACCAGUGGCGAAGGCGGCUUCCUGGACACUAACUGACGCUGAGACGCGAAAGCGUGGGGAGCAAACAGG
rnacentral:rRNA from 1 species